rnacentral:rRNA from 1 species
AGUGGAUGGGGAGCAACCUAGUUGUGCGUGUGUAAAGGUAGUGCCAAGAAAAGCGAUGAUCAUGUUGAAAAUCAAUUCCCGGUACCCGAAACCGACACAGGUGAGCAAGUAGAGAAUACUAAGGGGCGCGAGGUAACUCUCUCCAAGGAACUCGGCAAAAUGACCCCGUAACUUAGGGAGAAGGGGUGCCACCGAGAGGUGGUCGCAGUGAAGAGGCCCAGGCGACUGUUUAGCAAAAACAUAGGUCUCUGCAAACUCGAAAGAGGAGGUAUAGGGGCUGACGCCUGCCCAGUGCCGGAAGGUUAAAGAAGUUGGUCAGUUUUAGGAUGAAGCUAGCGACUGAAGCCCCGGUGAACGGCGGCCGUAACUAUAACGGUCCUAAGGUAGCGAAAUUCCUUGUCGGGUAAGUUCCGACCCGCACGAAAGGCGUAACGAUCUGGGCGCUGUCUCGGAGAGAGGCUCGGCGAAAUAGGAUUGUCUGUGGAGAUACGGACUACCUGCAUUUGGACAGAAAGACCCUAUGAAGCUUUACUAUAGCUUGGAAUUGUGUUCGGGCUUCCUGUGCGCAGGAUAGGUGGGAGGCGUAGAAGGUAUUCUUGUGGGGAUACUGGAGCCAACGGUGAGAUACCACUCUCAGGAGGCUAGAAUUCUAACUUAAUUAAGGACAGUUUCAGGUGGGUAGUUUGACUGGGGCGGUCGCCUCCAAAAAGGUAACGGAGGCGUACAAAGGUUCCCUCAGACUGGUUGGAAAUCAGUCGAAGAGUGCAAAGGCAGAAGGGAGCUUGACUGCGAGAAGUACAGUUCGAGCAGGGUGGAAACACGGUCUUAGUGAUCCGACGGUGCUGUGUGGAAGGGCCGUCGCUCAACGGAUAAAAGUUACUCUAGGAUAACAGGCUGAUCUCCCCCAAGAGUUCACAUCGACGGGGAGGUUUGGCACCUCGAUGUCGGCUCAUCGCAACCUGGGGCGGAAGUACGUCCCAAGGGUUGGGCUGUUCGCCCAUUAAAGCGGUACGUGAGCUGGGUUCAGAACGUCGUGAGACAGUUCGGUCCAUAUCCGAUGUAGGCGUGAGAAUAUUGAGAGGAGCCUUCCUUAGUACGAGAGGACCGGGAAGGACGCACCGCUGGUGUACCUGUUAUGAUGCCAAUUGUAAACGCAGGGUAGCCAAGUGCGGAGAGGAUAACCGCUGAAAGCAUCUAAGUGGGAAGCCCACCUCAAGAUGAGUAUUCUGGUGUAAGGUCACGGGAAGACGACCCGUAAAUAGGCACGAGGUGGAAGUGCAGAGUUGUAUGAAGCCGAAGUGUACUAAUAGACCGUCGGCUUGACC